GCAACUCGCCUACACGAAGUUGGAAUUGCUAGUAAUCGCGAAUCAGAAUGUCGCGGUGAAUACGUUCCCGGGUCUUGUACACACCGCCCGUCACACCACGAGAGUUUACAACACCCGAAGUCAGUGGCCUAACCGCAAGGAGGGAGCUGCCUAAGGUGGGGUAGAUGAUUGGGGUGAAGUCGUAACAAGGUACC
rnacentral:rRNA from 1 species